GCUGGGAUAGCUCAGUUGGUAAGCAUGAGGCUCUUAAUCUCAGGGUCGUGGGUUCAAGUCCACAUUGGACA